AAAUGGUUAUAACAAAAGAUGAGACGCAUGGAAAAUUCAUUCAUGUCAAAAAAAUGCUGCUAGCUAAAAUUACCGACACUUUUAAAAAAUGUUGCUAUAUGUGGGGUCGCUAGAUAUAUAGUGACAGUUAAAGAGUGUCGCUAUAACCUAAAAGAGUGCUGCUAAUUUACCAAUACUUAUUUAAGUAUUUAGCAACCGCCGAAACUCUAUCUCAUUGGCUGCAGUGGCGGAGGAGGACGACAGGAAAGGCUCUUCGUCUAGAAUUUUAGUGGAUUGAGUGAACAGAGAAGAAAAGAUGGUAAUUAAUUUUUCUUUUUUUUUUCUUUUCUGUUUGUAAUUGGGCCAAAUGGACUGGGUGUGAUGGGUUGAGUAGAGUAAUCUUUUAUUUUUGAUUGGUUCGGGCUUUAUAUUUAGGCAUUAGUAGACAUUUUUUUAAGUUUUAGGAUAAAUGAGACACUUACUCAAAAGUGUCCCAAACAUGUGUCCGUAUAACCUAAUUCUGUUGUAGUGAAAGGACUUAGUGGUUGGUAUCCGAGACCCAAGUUUGAAUUCUAGUUGAUUCACAUUUUCAGCCAAAUUUAUUUCUAAAUGAAAUAAACGAAGCGGAUAGCGUGCUACCUAUCUCUCUCAAAAAAUGUGAAACUGUGAAAUUAAAUGG
rnacentral:lncRNA from 1 species